rnacentral:tRNA from 1 species
AGCAGCGUGGCUCAGUGGCAAGAGCCCGACUUGGGAGUCAGAGGUCAUGGGUUCGAAUCCCAGCUCUGCCA